AAAAAGUUAUUGAUGAAAAACCAGUAUUUUUCGUUCCUUUCGGGCUAAAUACCUCAAAAUUUUAUUCUCGUUUGAUACUUAAGCAAACCCUCCCUAUGGUCAGAUCUUCCUGAAACUUGGCAUGUGACCUUCUGUAAUCAUUCAAAAAUGAAGCACUGAUCCUGUGCGUUGGUUGGUUCUGGAAUAAUGAAAAGCGAAAGGAAAAGUUCAGGUGGUGCGGUGUUAAACGGUGGAUAACUGAACACUAAUUGGAAAUGAAAUUUCAAAAAGUACCGUGAGGCGUUGAUUCUACGGCAUUCAGCGAACAUUAUCUUAAAAAUUAUAGAAUUGGUAGUGCUGGCAUGCGUGCAACAAAGAUGGUAUUAUUAUGUGGCAUGUGAUUAUAUGAUAGAAGAAUAAAUAUUAAAUUGAGAGUUUGUAAAUAUAUUCCAAACUAUUUUCUGAAUAUAACUAUUUCAUAUGGUUGAGCUUUUAAAACAUUGUGCGGUUAGUGCUUUUGUUCUUUAUUAUUCGGAUUA